rnacentral:rRNA from 1 species
UAAGGAAUAUUGCUCAAUGGGAGAAAUCCUGAAGCAGCAACGCCGCGUGGAGGAUGAAGGGUCUUUGACUUGUAAACUCCUGUAAAGAAGGAAAAAAUUCCCAUUAGAUGGGAAAUGAUGGUACUUCUGAAGUAAGCUCCGGCUAACUACGUGCCAGCAGCCGCGGUAAUACGUAGGGAGCAAGCGUUGUUCGGAUUUACUGGGCGUAAAGGGCGCGUAGGCGGCGCGGUAAGUCACUUGUGAAAUCUCUGAGCUUAACUCAGAACGGCCGAGUGAUACUGCUGUGCUAGAGUGCGGAAGAGGCAACCGGAAUUCUUGGUGUAGCGGUGAAAUGCGUAGAUAUCAAGAGGAACACCUGAGGCGAAGGCGGGUUGCUGGGCCGACACUGACGCUGAUGCGCGAAAGCCAGGGGAGCAAAC